AGCUGCUUCUGUUUGCCCUGGACUAUGCCUCAGAAGAGGGAAGAGGAGCAGAGCCCAGAAGCUUCUUAGUUAGCUGCUGAUCCCAGGAGCACGCCUCAACAAAUCUGCAACAUGGUCAUCUCCUGCUGAGCAUCUGCUUCCAGAGAACCCAAAUUGUAGCAGUUUCUGCCAGGAAUGGCCCAGGAAAGUAGCCAUGGGGAUGGAAUUUUGGAGCUGGAUCAUUUGCCACCCAGCUAACAGUGAGGACUGCCAUUCUUGGUAAGAGGAAAUCUUUCCUGAUCUCAGUCUAAGCAGCACACCCUCCUCAGUGGAAACCAUUUACUUCAUCUACUGAUCAGACACUGCAAGUACUAGUUCAUGUCUAAGUCUUCCAUUGGACUAUAUUCAUUUCAAAAAAGUUCUUAUAUACAGGAAAAAGAUGGUUGUCUGCAAACAAGGAAGAGUAUAUACUCCCUAAAUACCAGAUCUGCUAGAGCUUCAGUCUUGGACUUUGCAGCCUAUAGCAAUCCUGAGAACUUCAGGGAAAAAGUUGAAAAAUAAAUUUCUGUUAAGUCAUCCAGUCUACAGGAAUUUGUUAUAACCACCUGUUCUGAGUUAGACAAUUACCUAUAUCAUGUGUUUAUUUCAACUAGCUUUUAUUAACUAAAUUUUUACAAGCACAUUUCAUAUAAUAAUGCUUACAUGCUAAUUAAAUUUCAUAACUAGAAUUCAAAAUGCAAUUGUGAUAAUCCAUUUAAGAAACACACAGGCGAGUCUUUUUGAUUGUAUAAUUCAAGUAGUGGAGUAAAAGUAGCUACAGGGAUGCAAACCAAAUAGACAAGGUCAAUAGUCAAAAAGCAAAGACGAAAAGUAGCAUAUUCUAGCUGCCUAACUCCAAUGGCAGAUUCUUCUACGUAAGUGUGAAGUUUAAGUAGAGAGAAUAUUUCCAACAUACGACAUAUUAUUUUCUGUUUUAAUUAUCUUCUGCUCAAAGAUCAAAGUUACUCUAUUGCAGAAAAAUACAGACUAGCAUUCAUGAAAAACCUAAAAAUAUGGCUGUCCUAUCCUUAGGCUUAGACAGUAAGGUACAAUUUGUACAGAGUGUAGAAUUACUGUUGCCUUGUUCUGUUUUUCUUUCUAAGGAUUUAUCUAGUAUGUCAUUGGAAAGCUAUUACUUGGCAGGCUAGCUAUGCACAGUCUGAAAAACACCUUGGUUCUAACCAUAUUUAUCUGUUCCAUAUCACUAAAAAAUGCAUGCCUUUCUUAACUUACCUGACUUGUAUAGCAAAACCUUGAAACUAUGAUCUGCAUUCCAUGAUUUGGAAGAAAAAGUUUCAUUUAUUUAUAACUUGUUUAAAAAGAAAGUGGAAAGGAAAGAAAAGGAGAUAUAGUGUAAAUAUAAAGCAUAAGACAUACUCAUUGAAAUUAAUAUGAUAAUACUGGCUUUCUGACAUUUUCAGUUUCUCGCUUCAAUGAAGGACUUUUAUCCAUAUGCCGAUAUUAUAAAUUUACCUCAAUAUCAUAAUUACAUGAAUAGAAUACAACAUUAUGUAUUUUGAUGGAGUAUUUGAGUCUAACUGCACUCUAAAAUUUUAUAAUUUUAUUCUAUGUGUAGACCUAGCCAUUGCAUCUACGCAUAAUCAUAGACAUAAAUUGACUCUUCCAUGUUUUGAAUAUUUGACAGAUUUUGAUUAAAGGCAAAAAUCAUGCAUAUAAUUACUUGCUCUGUUUAUACUCCAUUAAGUAACUAGGGCUCUAAUUUUCCAUUACGUAAUACUUAUGAGAAGGUAGAUUCUUCCCACCUAAAAUUAUUAUGAAACAAAGGAAAAAAAAAAAGAAAACAUAAGGGCCUCAGUACUUAACUCUCUUUAUGAACAAGAUUGCUGGCCCAGUCUGCGAUUUUGUAUUUGCCACCUCCAUAAUCUCAUAAGCAUAAACUGUAUAAAAUCAACCCUCCAUCAUACACACACACACAUGCAUUCUGUUUCCCUGGAAAACUCUAAUGCACACAUCAAAGUAACAGUUAUUUGCUUUCUAUGUUCUUUGAAAAUA